UUUUUUUUUUUUUUUUUUUUUUUUUUAAAUAUAGAAGAAGGGUCUUAACUAAGUACUAAAUACUCUGACUAAGUAGCCCUGGAACUUACUCUAUAGGCCAGGCUGUCCUUGAACUUGCAAAGAUAUGUCUGCCUCUGCUUGUCCAGUUUUUGGCUUUAAAAGGCACGAACCACCAUGCCCAUCAACAUUGUAUGUAGUGCUUUUGACGCCAAGGCAUAUUUCUUCAUGUUGAGUCUGAAAUUAAAAAUUUUAAUUCUAAAAUGGCAUAUUUUAAGCAGUAAGCAGUCAUCAAUAUAAUGGUGGUAGCCUAAAUGCAAAAUGUGUAUGACUUUAGUCAUGUAUAAGUUUUCAUUAUCCCUCCUAAAAAGCAUUGACUUCUAUUGGGCUUUGAUGUGUGUGGAUUAUCCCUAUUGCUAUUUUAACUGUUUCAAGCCUUCAGAACAUGCAGGUGCUCAUUACAGCACUUGUAUUGGAAAUGAUACUAAAGUGAUGAUAGCUGUGUACAGAGAAGAGAAUGAAUGAAAAAUACAUUUACUGUCUUAAUAGCUUAUUUAGUUUUUAUCUCACCUCCUUAAUGAUUUCCUUCCUUCAAAAAGUUGGUGGUGUUGUUAGUAUGAAUUAAGUGGCGUUCUCAAAGUCCUUUUAUUUGCUAUGUUGAUAUCUUGUAUAGAAAUGUAUAUC
rnacentral:lncRNA from 1 species